AGCGAACGCUGGCGGCAGGCUUAACACAUGCAAGUCGAGCGGGCACUUCGGUGUCAGCGGCAGACGGGUGAGUAACACGUGGGAACGUACCCUUUGGUUCGGAAUAACGCUGGGAAACUAGCGCUAAUACCGGAUACGCCCUUUUGGGGAAAGGCUUGCCGCCGCAGGAUCGGCCCGCGUCUGAUUAGCUAGUUGGUGGGGUAAUGGCCUACCAAGGCGACGAUCAGUAGCUGGUCUGAGAGGAUGAUCAGCCACACUGGGACUGAGACACGGCCCAGACUCCUACGGGAGGCAGCAGUGGGGAAUAUUGGACAAUGGGCGCAAGCCUGAUCCAGCCAUGCCGCGUGAGUGAUGAAGGCCUUAGGGUUGUAAAGCUCUUUUGUCCGGGACGAUAAUGACGGUACCGGAAGAAUAAGCCCCGGCUAACUUCGUG
rnacentral:rRNA from 1 species